rnacentral:rRNA from 1 species
UACGGGGGGUGCGAGCGUUGUCCGGAAUCACUGGGCGUAAAGGGCGCGUAGGUGGCCUGAUAAGGGUGUGGUGAAAGUCCGGGGCUCAACCCCGGAUCUGCCGUGCCGACUGUUAGGCUAGAGUACUGUAGGGGCAGGCGGAAUUCCGGGUGUAGCGGUGGAAUGCGUAGAGAUCCGGAGGAAGACCGGUGGCGAAGGCGGCCUGCUGGGCAGUUACUGACACUGAGGCGCGACAGCGUGGGGAGCAGACAGG